UACGUAGGUGGCAAGCGUUGUCCGGAAUUACUGGGCGUAAAGGGCGUGUAGGCCGGCCUUUUAAGUCAGGCGUGAAAUCCAUGGGCUUAACCCAUGAAUUGCGUUUGAAACUGGAAGGCUUGAGGAUCGGAGAGGGCAGUGGAAUUCCCAGUGUAGCGGUGAAAUGCGUAGAUAUUGGGAGGAACACCAGUGGCGAAGGCGACUGCCUGGACGACACCUG
rnacentral:rRNA from 1 species